UGCGUAGGCGGUUGGGUAAGUCAGAGGUGAAAUUCCGGGGCUCAACCUCGGAACUGCCUUUGAUACUGCCUGACUAGAGUACUGGAGAGGAGACUGGAAUUCACGGUGUAGCAGUGAAAUGCGUAGAUAUCGUGAGGAAGACCAGUGGCGAAGGCGAGUCUCUGGACAGUUACUGACGCUGAGGCACGAAGGCUAGGGGAGCAAACA
rnacentral:rRNA from 1 species